rnacentral:rRNA from 1 species
AGUCGAGCGGACCUUUUAAAGCUUGCUUUUGAAAGGUCAGCGGCGGACGGGUGAGUAACACGUGGGCAACCUGCCUGUAAGACUGGGAUAACUUCGGGAAACCGGAGCUAAUACCGGAUAAUAUAAGGAACCUCCUGGUUCUUUAUUGAAAGAUGGUUUCGGCUAUCACUUACAGAUGGGCCCGCGGCGCAUUAGCUAGUUGGUGAGGUAAUGGCUCACCAAGGCGACGAUGCGUAGCCGACCUGAGAGGGUGAUCGGCCACACUGGGACUGAGACACGGCCCAGACUCCUACGGGAGGCAGCAGUAGGGAAUCUUCCACAAUGGACGAAAGUCUGAUGGAGCAACGCCGCGUGAGCGAUGAAGGCCUUCGGGUCGUAAAGCUCUGUUGUUAGGGAAGAACAAGUGCGAGAGUAACUGCUCGCACCUUGACGGUACCUAACCAGAAAGCCACGGCUAACUACGUGCCAGCAGCCGCGGUAAUACGUAGGUGGCAAGCGUUGUCCGGAAUUAUUGGGCGUAAAGCGCGCGCAGGUGGUCCUUUAAGUCUGAUGUGAAAGCCCACGGCUCAACCGUGGAGGGUCA